UGCUUCAGCUUAUUUGCACUAUUAUACCUGACAAAAAUCUGAUGGUUUUUCAUUGGAGAAAACUACAUGAAAAUCUGGUGAUGCCAAAUGAGCUGUGGAAAAUUGGCAUGAUAUUUUUCCACUGACCACAGAUGUAAAAUGUGUGUUCUGAUAAUCCUGAAGUGAUACUCUUACACGUUCCUCUUUAGUGUUUCCUGGAUGGAAAGCUUAGGAAGCGUUGAAGCUAACAGUAAUAUCGUUGCCAAUAAUUUUGGCUGCCAGCUCCAGUUCUCUAAAUAGACAAGCCAAUUAGUAGUGUUUCCCAUCCUGCUUCUGGAUGUAAGUAAUUUCCAACAGAGAGCAACUUAGAGAGGUUCCUGCAGGAUCAACCAAUUACCAGCAUCACAUCGGCAAGUCUGGUGGCACUACUUAGAGCUGUGCUAAGCUGGAAGCUGUUCUCACCUGCUACUGCAUGUCUGUUUUACAGAAAACCAUCAAUGCUUGGAGAAUUCCUUCUACAUCAAGAUGUAAAUCCUUCUGCCGCCUUUGGAUGCUUCACUUAAAUGACUCUAAUCUAGUUCUGUCAGUCAAGUAGAUUGUCCACGAUCAUCUCUGGUAAGAAAAUAAUAUAUAUUUUUUGUAAGUACGUUUUAUGAAGUAGAUAUUUUUUUUAUUGAGAUGUACUCAGUAUAGAAAGUAAACCUGUGUCGUCAUAGGA
rnacentral:lncRNA from 1 species